AGGUGUCUGAUAGAGAAAUAUCACACUUUUUUGGUUUCAUUGAGCCAUCGUGGUCAUCGAGAAUUAGGGCAAAUAUGGAUAAUCGGGCUGAAAUUAUCUCAGAGUGUAUCAAUAACACAGUGAUGGGUCAACCUUGGUUAAUGACAUACCAUUUCUUACGUCACUGGAUGUUAGUGAUCAUUGAUCCAGAUGACCAUACUUGUUACUAUCUUGAUCCACUUAGAAAAUCUCCUCCAAAUGAUUUGAAGAACCUUAUGAACAGUGUCUCUUCACACAUUAAGUGAAAGAUAGGAAGGAAUAAAAAAAAAUUACAAGUGGAAAAUAGUCAAUUGCCCUCGUCAAACAUCGUCAGUAGAGUGCGGCUUUUAUAUCAUAAGGAUGAUGAAGGACUAUUGCUUGAAUGAGACACCCAUGCGAUGGCUAACUAGUAAUUGUGGUGGGAAGAAUACAUAUAUACUUGGCGAAAUUAAUGAAACUCGAAAUGAAUGGGCAGCUAAGCUUCUUGAGCAGAUGAGUCAUAGCUAGAGUAACUUUUGAAAUCA